UCAAGGUCCAUACAUGUUGUUGCAAAUAGCAGGGUUCCCUUCUUUCUCAAGGCUGAAUAAUAUUCCACUAAAUUUACAUGCCACAUCUUCUUUUCCCAUUCAUUCACUGUUGGACACCAAGUUGCUUCCCUAUCUUAGCUAUGGUGGAUAAUACUGCAAUGAAUAUAGGAGUGCAGAUCUCUCUUUGACAUUCUGUUUUCUUUUCCUUUGGCUAUAUACUCAAAAUGUUAAAUUUCCAGAUCAAAGAAUAGUUCUUUUUUUAGUUUUAUAAGGAAACUCGACACUAUUUUCCAUAAUGGCUGCACCAAUUUACAUUCAAACUGACAGUGCACAAGUGUUCCCUUUUCUCCAUAUCCUAACCAAUACCUUUUAUCUCUGUUAAAUGAUAAAAAUUAUGACAGGUGUGAGGUGAUCUUACUGUGGUUUUGAUUUGCAUUUCCCUGGUAAUUAGUGAUGUUAAACAAUUUUUAAUUUACAUGUUGGCCAUCUGUAUGUCUUCUUUGGAAAAAUGUCUAUUCAGUUACUUUUUAAAUCAAAUUGCUUGGUUUUUCAUUAUUGAUUUGUGUAAGUAUCAAUGUAUUUUGGAUAUCAACCCCUUAACAGACACAUGAUUUGAAAAUACUUUCUCUUAUUCAUUAGGUUGCAUUUUCCUUUUGCUUAUAGUUUCCUUUAUCGCACAGUAGCUUUUUACUUUGAUGUACUCCAGCCCAUUUAUUGAGUUUUGCUUUUGUUGCCAAAUUCAAAGAAAUCAUUGCCAAGACCAAUUUCAAGCAGUUUACCCCAUUUUAUGGCUUCAGGUUUUAUGUUCAAAUCUUCAAUUCAUUUGGCGUUCAUUUCUGUGUAUGGUAUAAGAUAGGGGUCCAAUUUUCACAACAUUACUUAUUAAAAAGACUAUUCUUUGCCCAAUGAAUAUUCUUAGUUCUUUUGUCAUUAAUUGGCCACUUAUGUGAUGAUUUAUAAGAUCUCACUUCUGUUCCAUUAAUCUAUCUGUUUCUAUGCCGAUGCCACACUGUUUAGAUUAUAUAGCUUUGUAAUAUUGCUUGAAAUCAGAAAGUGUGAUGCCUCUAGCUUUAUUUUUCCUCAAGACUGCUUUGGAAGUUCCUACUGUGGCUCAGUGUGUUACAAACCUAACUAGUAUCCAUGAGGAUGCGGGUUCAAUCCUUGGCCUCACUCAGUGUGUUAAGGAUCCAGCACUGCUAUAUGUUGUGGGUGGUGUAGGUCGCAGAUGUGGCUCAGAUCCCACAUUGCUGUCUGUGACAUAAGCCAGCAGCUGCAGCUCCAAUUCAACCCCUAGCCUGGGAACUUCCAUAUGCCAUAGGUGCAGCCAUUAAAAAAAAAAAAAAAAAAAGGCUGCUUUGGCUAUUCAGAUCUUUUGCAGGUCCAUACAAAUUUUAGGAUUGCUUUUAGUAUUUGUGAAAAAUGCUACUAAACUUCUGAUAGAGUUCAUUGAACCUGGAGAUUGCUUUAGAUAGAAUGGACAUUUUUAACAACAUAAACUUUUCCAAUCUAUGAAUACAGAGUAGUUUCUAUUUAUUUGUGUCUUCUUCAAUAUCUUUCAUCAAUGUUUUAUAAUAUUUAGUGUACAUAUCUUUCACCUCUCUGGUUAAAUUUAUAACCAGGUUUUAUUCUUUUUGAUAAAACUGUAAACAGGAUUGUUUUAUUAAUUUCUCAGACAGUUCAUUUAGAGUGUACAAAAAUGCAACAGAUCUUUACAUUUUUUUUUAUCCUGCAAUUUCAAUGAAUUUGUUUAUUGGUUCCAACAGUGUUUUGGUGGUACCUCUGCAAAUAGAAACAGUUUUACUACUUCUUUUCUGGUCUGACUAUCUUUUAUUUAUUUUUGUCUGACUUCUCACUAGAACUUCCAGUACUAUAUUAUAUAGAAAUGGUGAGGAUCAGUUCUUUUUAUAUGGGAAACAGUCUUGUUCCUUAUGGUUAUUCACUGCAAAAACAACCCUGGGUAUGUGCCAUAUCAUACUGUUUUGAUUGCUGUAGCUUUGUGUUAUGGUCUGAAGUCAAGGAGUAUGAUUCUUCCAGCUCUGUCUUCUUUCUCAAGAUUGUUUUGGCUACCUGAGGUCUUUUGUGUUUCCAUACCAAUUAAAAAAAUUUUCUAGUUCUAUGAAAAAAAGCCACUAGUAUUUUGAUAGGAAUUGCUAUAAAUCUGUAGAUUGCCUUGGAUAAUAUGGUCAUUUUAACAAUAUUAAUUCUUCCAAUCCAAGAGCAUUUGUUUGUGUCAUCUUUAAUUUAUAAUAUGAGUGUCCUAUAGUUUUCAGAGUACAUUCAGAGUACAGGUCUUUACCUCCUUGGGAAGGUUUAUUCCUAGGUAUUUUAUUAUUUUUGGUGCAAUGGUAAAUGGGAUUGUUUCCUUAAUUUCUCUGAUAGUUUAAUAAAGUAUAGAAAUGCAACAGAUUUCGGUGUAUUAAUUUUGUAUCCUGCAACAUUACCAAAUUCUCUGAGCUUUUAUAGUUUUCUGGCAUUUUUUUUUUUUUUUUUUUUUUUUUUUUUUUUUUGCCUUUUGGUUGUGGGGGGAGGGCGUGCACUCACAGCAUAUGUAAGUUCCCAGGCUAGGGGGAGCAGCCCAAGAAAUGGCCAAAAGACAAAAAAAAAAAAAAAAAAAAAAAAAUCCAGUCAUGAACAAACACAUAAGUGAUCUAAAGCAUGACUUUUGAAAUUACGAUGAUGAUCCACUAUUAGAUAAGGAAAUAAAUUUAAUUAUGAACACUAGUAUAUGUUAAAAUAUACAAAAAUAUAUAUAUUAGAAUAGCGCAUGGCAUAUACUCCCACAUAGUCAGCUUAGAAUUGUUUCAACUUUUUUUAAUUUCAUUUGUGCAUUUACACCUGUGGAAAACAGCUCAUAAAUGUAAAUUUUAUUUCUUACUAUGGGUGUGGUAAAAAGAGUAUGUGAAUGUUACCUAUCUGAGAUAUCUUCAACUCUAAGUUUAAUCAUUCUAAUUUUAAAACUCCUUCAAAAAAUUUAAUGAAAUGAAAUCUGAUUAGACCCCUAGCCUGGGAUCGAAGUUAGGAAGGAAUGAAAAGACUAAAAGGAAAAAAGAUAUGGAUACAAAAAGUGAUUAGUAAGAAAACUCCUAAAUGUCUGCUGGUGGUAAACAUUUUUAAAGUUCCCAUGCAGACUCAGUUAAAUGAGAAGGAAAAUGAUGAGGAAAAGGAAAGGAUUGGAAGCUGGUGGGUGGAUACAGCAAGUGGAAAGAAGCUGAUAGGGACUCUGAGUCACUGUGUUAGAGGGCAAUACUAAAGGAGCCUAUGAUCUAAACCUGUCAGAAGUGUAUAAACAAAUACACAGAAACAUAAGGCAUUACUAUGAAAUGAAUGUUUAUCUCCCCCCGAACUCAUUUGUUGAAAUCAUAAUUUCCAGUGUAAUGGUAUCAGGAAUGAGGGUUUGGAAGGUGAUUAGGUCAUGAGGAUAGUAGAGCCUUCAUGAAUGGGAUCAGUGCCUUUAUAAGAAACCUUGUUGCGCUCUUUCAUUCCUUCUACCAUGUGAAGACACAGCAAGAAGAGGUCCACCUAUGAACCAGCAAGUGGGUCCUCACCAGACAAUAAAUCUGCUGGCACCUUGUUCUUUGAUUUUCCAACCUCCAAAACUGUGAAAAAUAAAUUUCUGUUAUUUGUAAGAUACCUAGUCUACAGUAUUUUUGUUGCCAAAGCCCAAACAGACUAAGGCAUUGACAGUACUGAAGUUUUAGAUGUACAUAUGAAUAAAUAUAUGCUUACCUAUCAGGAAAACUUUACUGAUCCACAAAUCUAACUGACACUUGAAAACUUAUGCUCUUGUUAUGGAUCAUAGAUGACUUCAGGCUCUGUACAACAGAGGUCUCCUCCACAAGUCUUGGAUGAAAAUAGGAAACAAAAAAAAUCAAGAAAACAGACAUAAGCUGAGUUCUCCCUCAACUGAGCUGCUGUAAAAACAGCAAAAACCCAGAAAAAUAAAUAAACAAACAAAAUAGCUUCAAAUAUUCCU
rnacentral:lncRNA from 1 species